AUAUGGUGCACAUAUAGAAACUUACCUUGCAAGUUAAGAUACAUGUCUUGCAAAGUUAACAUAUUUUGGAGGUCUUAUAGGACAUCGCCAUGUAGUUCCUACUUAAGAAUAUAUAUAUCGAGGCAAUAGUGAAGCCUUUUUAACUCUUAUCGAUGCCUUUUUAGUCCUUACUCUUCUUUCAAGACUUUCUAGUCUUCUUGUUUUUGAUAAUUGCCAUUCUACUUCAAUAUUAUAUCAUCUUUAAGUGACUUUCUAAUUCUUUUUAAUGACACAAGAGUAUAUUGAGGAUAUUUUUCUUUGAAAUUCAUAUCUUAGAUAAUUUGAUAAGAAUA
rnacentral:lncRNA from 1 species